AGAUGUAAUGGGGAAUCCUUUUUUUACGAUUUCUUAAUUUCUUUUUUUACAAAUAUAAUUGGUUUUAUUAGGUUUGGUAUUAGUUAAUCUUGUAAUAGUUUCAUGAUUCAAUCCCUAGUCUGUUAUUAUGAUAUAUUAUUAUUGCUGCAUAGCCUACCAAUUGUUGUGUGCAAAUAUUUGAAAUCAAAGGACUUAUUUACACUACUUUUGGUGUUGUUUUUUCUACUGUGUAACUGUGGUUUUGGAACAAUUUACCUUCUUGGCUGCAGACUUAGGUGACAGAAGAAUGAUUUUCUUUUGUUGAUUAAACAAAAAGGUAUUGAGCAUUUUGAAGCAACAUCACCAAACUUUUGUCAUGAUGGGUAUCUCUUGUUAGUGCAUUAAAGUUCACCAAUAUGUGAUAAUGCUAUGAGUAAGAGCAUUAAAUCUGAUUUCUAUACUGAGGUAUAAAUUCAUGAUUUGUAUAUUGAUUUGAUCUUGGUAUUUUUUUACUUGAAUCUGGCCUGAUAGUUAAUAAAGUUAACAUGUACUAAGGCUUGAUGCAUGAUGUAUCCAACAAUCUAUUAUAAUAAUUGCUAAAAGAGGAAAAUAAUUUGCUUUUGUUAGUAUAAAAACUCAGACCAGGUACAUGAGUGCCUAUGGAGAUUUUGCACAAAAUUUGUGCUUGGACUAGUGUGUCAUGAACUCAGGUAUUAACAAUCAUGAAAUCAGUGGUUUAGUGAUCGAGAAUUCUUAAAUUUGAAUUUUCUUGUUAUAUGCUCGCAAAAGUUUGAAGGAAGAUUAGUUUGAGAAUAUGAUUGACAUUCUAUUUUGGUUGUGUGUGUGUGUGUGUGUGUGUAUCCUUGAUAACAAGUAAACUAAGGGGAAGGAAGGAAGGUAAAACUGUUAUGGUGGAGGAGACGAUGACUGGUCCGUGUUUAUGAAGUUUCAGCCAUUAAGGUUUGAACACUUAGGUUUACCACUUACCAAGUUGGGAAAGGUAUAUGAUCAAAAGUCUCAAAGGCAUGUCGAAUAACUAAUUGGAAAAAGUUUGUUGUCAAUGAGAGACAUAUGAAAACAAAUGAGUAUAUGCCAACAAUGGUGGUUGUUGGCAAGACAAAAACUGCCAACAUUAUGCACGCAAGGUUAUCAAUGGUGUCUUUCAUUGGUGCUUCUACUCUUCAAUUGAAAAAUCAAGGAUGUGAUUUUGGCUUAUCAAUGGUGUCUUUUUUAUCUUUAGUUAGUUUUGUGAUUUUUCCAUCUCAUUGCUUAUCAAUGCUAAGGAAUGCACUUAUAUGCUUUGUAAUUCUUAUAUUGAUUAGUUUAAAUGCAUAUAAAUUGUAUUUGGAUUUGAAGAUAUAUGUUGUAUACUUGUAUUCUAGUAAAUUGUAAUUAGAUUUGAGUUGUUUAUAUUCUGUUUAUGAUCAA